rnacentral:lncRNA from 10 species
AUGAAAAAGUCAAACAAAGGUAUAUUUCCUAAAAGAAAAUUAUAUAGGACUGCUUAUAGCCUCUUGAGAAAUUUGAAAAACCUAGGGUUCAGAGAAAAGGAGGAAAAACAAUUCAGUGGUGGGAAACGUCAGUCCUUUAGGAGAAGCUGAAGGAACUGGAGCUGUUUGGUCUCAAGGAUCCGUGUGUUAUCGCUGAGUGUUGGCCGGAGAGUUUAUGGAGCAAGUUUUUGUUUGCACAAAGGCCUAAAAGAGACAGAAAGGGGCAUACAUUGCUCUUCAACAAAGUUUGCAUGAAAAUUUCAAGAAACGAUGCAGUGCUGAGGACCCCCAGGCACGCGGUGGAGUCGCCUCCUCCAGAGAGUUUUCAAAACAGAGCAGCUUUUAGGCUCUGUAGCCUGAACCCCAGCUGGGGAGCCGAGGUCUCUUCCAGCUCCUUCAGUGCUCUGAGAAUUGUCUUCUCGUCCCAGCAACAGGCUUGCCUCGUGGGCUGCAGAGCGGCCAGGCCACCCUUAGAACCAUCGUUGGUGUUUUCCAGGCAAUCGUGAAGGAACAUCCUCCAUCAGAAACAGAAGAGAAGAACAAAAUCACUGCUGCGAUCUUUUAUUCCAUCAGCUUGACCCAGCAGGGACUCCAAGGGGUGGAGCUGGGAACAUUCCUCAUAAAGCGAGUCGUCAAGGAGUUGCAGGUAAGCGACACGCAGGGAGCCCCGGUCACGCUUGGCUUCCGUGUGGUCAGGUCAGCGAACCUCGUGGGGUGUCAGGUGCCAUGAGGGACACAGAUGAAGACAGGAGCUAAAGGGAGGGGCAGGGGGUAGAAAAGGUGCCAGAGACCCCUUGGCAACUCCUAGGAGCCAUGAGUCUCCCAGAGAGAUGAGAAUGAUGCUGAGAGAGGCCUCCAACCCAGCUGCCCAGUUGACUGCAAGACGCAGUUGUAUUCUGAGGUCAUCAACUCUCUCUAGGGUGACCUCGUUCUGACCUGGUCAGGACACUCUGGAUUUCACGUGUCAUCCUGGUGUAAGUGUCACUCUGAAAUGUCCCAGCCAGAUGGCACAGCUGGUAGUCAUCCUGCCACGCCUGUCCUCCCCCUGCCCCUGCCCACACUCUCAGGGCCUCUGACACCUGAUGUGCUGUUAGCUUGGGCCUUCUCAUGGCCUGUGAGGGAGUGCUGAGGUGAGACCAGACAGCUCGAAGGUAAAUGCAUCGGCUUUUAAUCUAACUCUCCUCUCUUUGCUGCCCUGUGAAAAACAUAUUAACCAUCCUACAUCAGAAAUGUUGAUGUUCACUCCAGGCCUAGGCUUUCAAAAACCACCAGCCUCAUCAGGGACUUGGAUAAAUUCCAAUGAGUAGAAUCUAAUAAUUAGGUGCGGUAGCUAGAUGUUUGCUAAUGACUGGCUCUGAGCAGGGUGUUCACUGUGUUGGGGGCUGCACAUGGCUGCAGCAGAGGCCUUCCUUUGAGGACGACAGUGUGGAGUGGGGACGUUUACAUGCUCCUAGUAAAUUCAUAAUCAAUUUCUAAUUGAAGCCCUCAGGAUUCAGCUGGGCGUGGGCUUCAUUACCACGCCGCCAUGUUUCCCCCGGGUAACAAUGAGCCGUAGCUCAUUCCCACAGUUUCCUCAUUCCUCUGUCUUCACUGAGGGUGGUGAUUAGCAGGGCGGGGUGGGGAAAUGUAUCAGGGUAAGGAAGGCAGGAAGAGGAGGAGCAGAUCCCGGGAUUCGGGGGAGUUGGGCCUUAGCCCAGCAGCUGUCCUGAGGGUGUCGCUUAACUGCCCCUGGGCGGCCAGCCUAGAAGUCCUCAAAGGGAGUCUGGAAGGGAACAAAUGGCCCCUCUGCGUGGAGGCGCUCGUCAGGGUUUACAAAAGCAAAACACAGCUGGGCGCAGUGGCUCACGCCUGUAAUCCCAGCCGAGGCAGGCAGAUCACCUGGGGUCAGGAGUUCGAGACUAGCCUGGCGAACGUGGUGAAACCCCGUCUCUACUAAAAAUAUAAAAAUUAGGCAUGGUGGUGCAUGCCUGUAGUCCCAGCUACUCGGGAGGCCGAGGCAGGAGAAUCACUUGAACCUAGGAGGCGGAGAUUGCAGUGAGCCAAGACUGCACCAUUGCGCUCCAGCCUGGGAGAGACAGUCUCAAAAAAAAAAAAAAAAAAACAGUGGUUCGGGGUGGGGGAAAAACCCCGGGAGCUACCACGAAUGCCCAACGAGAGGAACAUGGUGAGGAAAAUCAUAAUAGGCUGCUUUUUUUAUAUUACUCUGUGGUUAAAAUCUUCUGUUUUUGAAUUUUAAAUGAUAAUGAGAAAAUGCUCACGAUAUAAAUUCAUAUUGCAAAAUAUAAAGUAAGUGUCUCACCCAUGCAAAAAUCGCAUCAAGAAACACCAGGAGUUUAUCUGAGCAGACUGUCGAGAGUGGUUUUCUCAAUGUAGUGGAGUGUGAUGGUUUUAUUUUCUUCUGUCAUUAAUUUUUUCAAAAAAUAUCUAUAGUGAGCAUGUGUUACAUUUAUAAUCAGAAAGUAGCAGAUUGUUUGAAAUGAUCAUGAGAUCUCUAUCUAGUUGGGACAAUAACGAUUGAACCGUGUCAUGUGAUAUGGAGAGAUACCCGCAGCGUCCCCCUCCUCGCCCUCUACCCCGUUCUGCACCCGCCGUGGUGUGGCCGGGCAGCUAGUCGCUCACUCACCAGUCCCUGGCCACUCGUGUGCCGAGCAGCAGAGCAGCUUCCGGGGCCUCACAGGUGGCCAUGGGAGGAGCAUGGUGUACGGGAAAGACAAGGCCUGCAGUGAGUAGCUGCAGUGCACCGAGCCCCACUCCCCACUGGCCAGCUGUCUGGUUUUAGGCAAGUCCCCCAACACUCUAGUCUCGGUUUUGCCGACAUGAGAAGGGAUGGUGGGGACAGAGACGCCCUGCCUUGGGGAGUCAGGAUGCCUCCAGGGUCUGGCACACAUCAGGUUCCUGAUAAAUAUUUCCUGCUGGGUGUGGCGGCGCGAGCCUGUGGUCCCAGCUACUCAGCAGGCUGAGGCAGGAGGAUGGCUUGGACCCAGGAGAUGGAGGCUGCAGUGAGCCAUGAUGACACCACUGCACUCCAGCUAGGGCAAUAGAGCAAGACCCUGACUCUAAGAGGAAAAAAAGAAAAGCUGCUUGAAAGAAGAUAAACAACAUGUAUCAGAUGUCACUCUGACCGCUACACAGCAGCAUGUGAGCCGUAGGUUAAGAGGUGCUCCUCUGUUGGUAACGUACCUGCUGAAUUUGUGUUUUCUCCGCCUUCCUUUCCACCCCAACCAUGCUUUACAGAGAGAGUUUCCUCACCUUGGGGUGUUUUCAAGUCUGUCACCUAUACCUGGUUUCACCAAAUGGCUUCUGGGGCUUCUGAACUCGCAAACGAAGGAGCAUGGGAGGAAUGAACUCUUUACAGAUUCGGAAUGUAAGGAAAUCUCGGAGAUCACAGGUGGCCCCAUUAACGAGACCCUCAAGCUCCUCCUCAGCAGCAGCGAGUGGGUGCAGUCGGAGAAGCUGGUGCGGGCGCUGCAGACUCCGCUGAUGAGGCUGUGCGCCUGGUACCUGUAUGGAGAGAAGCACCGCGGCUACGCGCUGAACCCCGUGGCCAACUUCCACCUGCAGAACGGGGCGGUGCUGUGGCGCAUCAACUGGAUGGCGGAUGUGAGCCUCAGAGGCAUCACCGGCUCCUGCGGCCUGAUGGCCAACUACCGCUACUUCCUGGAGGAGACGGGCCCCAACAGCACCUCCUACCUCGGCUCCAAGAUCAUCAAAGCCUCUGAGCAGGUCCUCAGCCUAGUGGCCCAGUUUCAAAAGAACAGCAAGCUCUGACAGUAAACCUCUCCUAAAGCACAGGGCCCCGGCUAAGAAAACGAUCAUUUUCAGGAGGGGCCGGGAGUUAUGUAUCUGAAGCAGCUUUCCAAGCAAAGCCAAAGUUGACUGUGUUCUUGUCCCGCAGCCGGUCCACACUGUGAGGCCAGGCCUCAACUUCCCUCACCCUGGGCGUGACAUGCACCCAGUGCAAGACGGUUGUGGGUGCGGGUGCACACAAAUGAGUGGGUUGCUGUGCUGUCUCCGGAAGAUUCUGUCGUUGCCCUUGGCCUGGCUCCCUGCCCGGGGCUGGUGCUGUGGUACCUACAUCUUCAGGAAGCUGUGCAGCCUCUGCCAUUGCCAUCCCAGGGGGAUCUGGCAUCCUCCUAAGGACCGGGGCGCGUGGCCCAGAUAAGAAUAGGUGUUCCUUUGUGCUCAUAAAACAGAAUGCGGCGAUGGUUGCUUUAGCCGUUUCUCACCAUGCAAUGCAGAGGGACAAAGGGCUGUGCUACACUUCCCAGUUACAUUCUGAAGCUCAUAAAUGUAUGAGAAGGUUUGUGAUUUUGCACAAGGUGUGUGUAGUAAGUUAAAUUGUUGAACACAAAAAUGUUGCUGCUUGAGGCAUAAGUUGGAUAAUAGGCUUUAAAUGAUCAGGGAUUCAGGUUCAUAAUGAACUUCACAGUAAAGAACACGUUUGUUCUGU